AUGAUGCUGGUGGCCAAGGAGUUCGGCGCGCUGUCCCCGCCCGCGGGGGCGGCGGCGGCGGCGCGGAGGUGGGCCCCGCCGUCCACGGCCCGGGUGUCGCCGAGGGGCGGGUCGCCGGUGGGGGACCUGUGGCUGCGGACGCGGGGAGGGGGGGACGGGCCCGGCGGGAGCCAGCACGGGAGCCACGAGAGCGACAUGGACCUCGCCAUGCUCGUCAGCGACUUCCUCGAGGGCGGCGGCGGGAGCGGGGGCGACUCGCGCGGCAGCAGCGACGGCGAGCCCGGCGGCCUCCACGACCUCGCCCACCUCGCCGACAAGAUCUCGAUGUACAAGCAAGCUGGAGACGAGAAGGAAAACGAGCUGCUCUCCGUGGUUCACUCGCUGCUGUUCUCCAUCCAUGAGACAGAGCUCCAGGAUUUCGUAAGAGGUCAAUGCACUGGCAGCUGCAUCCGUCAUCUACUCGUGAAGCUCCUGAGGUACUCGGGAUACGACGCGGCCGUCUGCGUGUCCAAAUGGCAGGGGUUCGACAAGAUACCUGGAGGUGACCAUGAGUACAUUGAUGUCAUAAUAGACAACGACCUGCCGGGUCCAGAGCGUCUGAUCAUCGACAUCGACUUCAGGAGCCACUUUGAAAUAGCCAGAGCAGUCGAUCCUUACGGCACCCUGCUGGACUCGCUCCCGGUGGUCUACGUCGGCACCCUUCCAAGACUGAAGCAGUUCCUGAACGUGAUGGUCGACGCGGCGAAAUGGUCCCUGAAGCAGAACUCCAUGCCCCUGCCUCCGUGGAGAUCCCUGUCCUACCUCCAAAUGAAGUGGCACUCCAAGUACGAGCGGAAAGGCCUGCAAUCUGAGCAGCAAGAGUUCCAGGGCGCAUCCCCGAGCCGCACGCUGUGCUUUGGGCAUCUGAAGCGGCUGAAAUCCUCACUGCGGUUGGAACUCGAGACCGGAAGGUUGCUCAUGAUGCCGGUCAUGCAGGCCGGCACAAAGAGGACGGCAAUGUACGAGAGGCGGCGUAGACGCUCCCUGCUCAGCUUCUGA
rnacentral:rRNA from 1 species